AAACUGAUUAUAAAACCCUAACCUGUUAUUCGUUUUUCAGAGUUACAACAUUCCACAGAUCGACUGCAGCCGCAGAUAAGAUGGCCACUGCUUUAUCUUCUGGUAUUGACGAAAUCAGGCCUCCUGAUAUCACAAAAUCAUCAGAUGUUGAAGAACGAUAGUUGCCUGUUCAGAGGAUUUCGGUAUCAUCAUCCAGGGUGUUGAAGAGCAAUCUCGUUUCAGUUUUUGAAAGAGAUACUAUAGCUAUCAUCCUGGUGCAUCGGACGCUGAAGGUGAUGCAGGGCAUCUGUGAAACUGCACGUGGCCCGUACAAGCUAAACCAUUAAUACAAAGAAUAGGAGAAAGCUUCAAGUGGUCCAUACAAGCUAAACCAUGUAAUGAAUAUAAGCCUGAAACUUAUCAAAUUAGCAAUUUGUAUAGCUCAUAUAAGGGUGUUAACAACUUCACAUUCUAUGUUACUCUAUUUUUUAGG